rnacentral:lncRNA from 1 species
AGAACAUCACGAUAUCUCACCGUCACGGAGGUAAAGGUGGGUAGAAAAACACAAAAAGACCAAUGGAGCAUAAUUUACAAUAAACUCGUUUAUUAACAUGAAAACCUUCACCAUCCACUUACCUCGGUGGAAUUUAUGAAAACAAUAUAAGAAAAAUAAUAACAUUAUCAUAAUCAUGGAAUAAUAUAAGCUGUAAAACAUAACACUUAUCACGCCUCUUGUAAUUCAAUCAUUGUACAACAUAUCUUUUUCUCAUUUACCAGCCUACUAGUAUCCGUGGGGGUCCAUAGGGGUUCCGCUACCCGUUAACCUUUAACAUUCAUAAUCAGUUUCCAGGGCCGUCCCCAUACCCCGUCCGGUAUGGGCGCCAAAACCAUGAACCUCAAUACCCCGUCCGGUACGAGGGUGAAACGGGUCGUCCCCAUACCCCGUCCGGUAUGGGCGCCAAAACCAUAAACCUCAAUACCCCGUCCGGUANN